CAUGGUGACACGUGCGGCUGCUUGGU
rnacentral:piRNA from 1 species